rnacentral:lncRNA from 1 species
CAAAUAUGACCCAUCAUGUUCUGUCACCACAAGAACAGAUCUUUAGCAUCAACCAUGAGCUUGAAGCCUGAAGGUAUAAAAAGUGUAGCAAAAAACCAAAUACAAGACCACAGGCACAACUAAAAAACGAAAUUAAGAAACGAUAACAACUAUUCUUUUUUGGAGUUAAUUUGUAAUAAUCAUAAAUUGUAAAAUCAGAAUGAUGCAGUAAUGGCAUGGCAAUUUUGACAUAAAGAUAUCAAUAAGUCACAUCAUUAUGUAAACACUGCUGAGCUAUAAUUAAUCUGAGCUAUAUAAUAGUUUAAAGGACUUUACAUCUUUUGCAUAAGUGAAGAAAUCAUCAAGCCUAAAGACUUUAGAUCCUGCAAUAAUUAAAAGUUUCAAUUUGUGUCCAUAAUCAUAAUUCAGAGACAAAGAUAUAGAUAUAGAUAGACACUACACCGAGACAUAUAUACCCACCAAAACAACAAAAUGGACAAUUUAAUUAUGUGGUUAUAUAAACUUACGUACCACAAAAAAUGAUAGGUACAAUGCUAAAAACUUACCAAAAUAUAUGAUUAGGGUUUUGAAGUUUGAAUGAUGGUAAUGGUUUGUUGCACAGAGAACAAAAACUUAGAGAAGAAGUUAUAAGAAGAGGAGUGAGGUGGGUGAGAGAAGGAAGGAGAGUGGGGUUAGAGUAAAGAAGAAUUCGAGUGUAAUAAUGAGGGGAGGGAAGUGGACUAUGGAUUGGGUGGGAAAUUACGAAAAUGCCCCUUGACCCAUGUUUGAAACGCCUAACGGUAGAAAGAAAGGAGGAGGGACAGAUGUUGGAAAAAAGAGAGUGAUGUUGUCGGAUAUUUCAACCCCAAAAUGCUCUUUUGACGGCUUUGGAUAGUGCCAAUUGAUUUUCUGUAACCGUUGGAAAAGAUUUGAAAAAGCGUAUAAGAGGUUGUGCAUUGCAUUGGUUCUUGUACUCAUUCACCAAAAAUAAAAAAUAAAAAAUAAAUACAAAAUAAAUAAAAGUGAUCCAACCCGAAAUAUACUAAAAAAUUAUUAAAAAGCUAGCAAGUAAAAUGUACUAGUUUGGUUUCUUGUACUUGUGUUAACAAAGAAAAAUCUUUUCAAACAUAAUUUUUAUAUAUAUAUAUAAAAUGACGUGAUAUGAAUCUUUUUAUAAUGACGACUCAAUAUUAAUUGACUUUUUAAGUUUUAAAAAAUGAAUUAUAAGUGGUCACAUCAUUCUUUAUGAACUUUUUAUAUAAUAAUUUUAUUUUUAUUUUAUAUUAUUAUUCUGACAAAAAUGUGAUAAUACAAUCCUAAUUGAUUAUAAUUUAUUCAAAAUAGUGAAAUUAAUUCCAAGUAAGCAAAAUUUGGGUUUUUCAUUAAGGAUUUUAAAUGUACAAUUAAGCAUAGAUUAGGGUUUGGAAGUGUAUAUUGUACGAACGUCAUAUGAAUCAUGGUUUACAACCGAUGUAUCUUCUUCUUGGAAACUAUAAAAUAAUACCCCUUUUAAAAAGCUGUUAGACCUGUCCUUCCUAAUGAUUAAAGCCUUAAAACUCAAGCAAAUUGUUGCAACAAUGAGUUGUCAUUGGCUGUGUGUAAGAUAUUUUAUUUACUGCAGACAAAUUAUGACUCUUUGUUUCAUUCCAUUAUAGGAGCAAGUGCUUUUGUUACUUAGUAUUAUGUUUGUAGAGUAUUAUAAACUAACAUGGUUUAUUCUUGUUCAUCAUUUUAUUUUGGAAAUCCCAAAAUAGUUGUCUAUUAAAAAGUUAAAACAAAAACUUAUCUAUUUUUCAUAAACAAUCUUGUAUAGAUAGUCACCAAUAUAUUUGCAAGUGAGAAUAAAUUAACGAGGGGUUUCCCAAGAAAUUUUUAGAAAUCAGUACAUUUUGUUUGGAUUUGGAGUGGUUAUCUUAAAAAGUUAAAAACUUCAAAAAUACGAACAAAUAAAAUAGAACGGAAAGAGUAGUAUUAUACUAGUUUUCUUACCGAUAUGUAUAGUUGUGCAGCUGUUGUAAAAUUUUUAUUUCAAAAACAAAAACAUCCAUCAUCGUGGUUGAUUUAUAUUUUCAAAAAUUAAUUACUGCAUGCCCACAUUAUCUGGUGAUAUUUUUUAUAAAAAAAAAUUGAAAGAAUAUCAUUUUUCACCAGAUAGUUACCACAUUUUUUAUCAUAUAUGAUAGCUCGAAUAAGCAAAUAGCUAGGUGUGAAGCGAGAAUUCUUAGGCGAAGUUAGGGGUACUUGGCAUUUCAGAGGAAUGCAAAAAAGUAUAUAUUAUUCUUGAACCCCUCUGUGUGGGAACGCUUUAUAUCAUUAUCUUGAAUUCUCUUCCCUCCCCCCCCCCCCCCCCCCCCCCCCCCCGGAAAGCGGAAAAGAGAGAAGAGAGGGAUGGAUUCAAAGGGAGAUCGUUACACACAAAAAAAAAGAGUCAGAAUAUUCAUAUUACAUUAAUACGUUAAAAAUUAGAUUUAUAUAGUAUAAAAGAGAAAAUACCCCCCCCCCCCCCCCCCCCCCCCAAUUAUACUUUCUGUUGCUAGGAACAUUAAAAGUAUAAUUUAAAUUAUUUAUUAAUUUUUUUUAGCGAGACUUUAAAUAGAUACACUGUCGCAUCUUAAAAUUAAUAUUAUGGAUCCAUCCUAAAGAGAAGAAAGAGACAUAUCUUUGCACCAUCCAAGUAGAGAGCAUGAGAAGUUUUAAAGAGGAGAGAGAGAGAUGGAAAGAAAGAAAAGUGGGGAAGUCUGUUAAGUAUGUAUACAAAUGCUCGUGCGCCCCCCAUUGGGACCAAGUGUUAGGAGCCCACAACCUCUUUCUCGAAGAAUAUACAGCGUGUGGUUUUUGUCACACCCGGCCUCUAUUCUUCCCCCCUUCUUCUUCAUUUCUAGGGUAUCUGUCUCUGUCUGCUGUAUCUCUCUUCUCUCCACGCCCCUCCCAUCCCCACUUCCCUUCUUUUUUCAAAGUUUAAAAUCCAUUCUUAUCUACACCAAUCAGCUAAAAAAAUCUUCCUUCUUUUUGCUCCUUUGAACAAUUUUUGAUAAAAUAACUUAAUUGAUAUGUUCUUGAUUGGGUGUAAAAUUCUUAAAAAUUAUUUAUAAAAAUAUCUUCCUAUUUAUUUUGAUUUUUAAAUGAAAUCCCCGCCUUCUCAAAAUGAACUAACAAAUGUAGGACAAUUUUAAUUCUUAUAUAUUAUACACACAUACACACCAAUUCUAGCCCACACAUUGAUAAUCUAACUUGUCCAUCUAGUUGAACUCAGCGCUCUCUCCCUCCACGAAAAUCAAAUUCAUUGUUUAGGUUUUCAAGAAAAAUUUAUUUGAAUCAUGAAACUAUGGUGUCUGUGAAUUUUUUGACUCGGACCCCCGAAAUCGACUGAACAACAACGAGUGUAUGUCAUCGGUUAGAGUUUAGAAUUUUUAGAUGAAUUGCCCUAAUGGAAUUUUAGUUUGGACUCCUAAACUCGGUUUUGGUAGACUCCUUGUUGUUUGGGACUUAGUUGACAAUGACUCUUUUUGGUAUUAGUUUGUUUUGGAAGGAUUAUUUGGUUUAUAAAUUGGAAGACUCUCUCUUCUUGGUAAAUUUUUUUGGAGUUCUAUGGGAGUUACAUGAUUAGAACUUGGUGACUUUGGAUUUAGAAGAAUUUCUUAGUUCCUUUGGUGCCCUUAUGGGGAAUUUUGUUGUGAAUCUUGAUCUGUUGUAGGACUUUUGUGUCUUUGGUGGAACUUUUGGUUCGUUGCGCUUCUUAUGGUAAUCUUGAUACUUGGUGUGAAGGAGGGCUUUCGAUUGUGGUUUCACUUAGGUUAGGAGAAAAUUUGUACUUUGACUUUGGUGAGUCUUGAGAGAGUUUUCUAGGAAAAUUUUUUUUGCCGCUCUCACCACUUCGUUGAUUCGUUAGUGAAAGCCUUUAAACGUUUGAGUGCUCGUGGGCACGUAGGGCAUUUUUUUCACAAACCAGUAAAACUUGCAUCUUUCGUUUCCUUUAUUAUUUCUCUCUCUUUUGUUUGUUUAUUUUUUGCAUUAAAAAAUUUGUUUCGUACGUUUCUUCAUAAUUAUAAUAGGCCCAUCUUUGAAUUGUGUUUGUUUCGUAAUUUUUUGAAUGUUUUUUCAUAACAACAACAGUCCCAUGAACCUAAUUUCUUAAUGGAUAGCGUGCACGUAGCGAGUAUUACAAGAUGGGAGCUCGAAUCAUCAUCAGUGGGACAAAAUAGCACAUCUAAUUCCAAAAAAUGGCUUGUAGGGAAGCAACUCCAUACCUUUAAUAGAAGUGCCGAACUACUAAUGACCAAGAAUAUUGAACUCUAUAUAUUGCAUGCAUGUUAAUAAUCACUAUGCCAAUAAUGAUCUAUCACGUAAACGUAAUCAACUCUAUUAUGCACACAUGACAUUAGAGUAAUAUUGAAUAAUUUUAAAUUGACGAUUACAUUUGGAAUAGGAAAAUUCCCUCAUUCUCUAUAAUAAUUUGUAUUAGAUGGUGAUCACUGUUGCAAUGAAUUUUUAAAUUAAACCUUUUUGACAUCACACUGUAAAUAACGAUCACGUUUAUUUGUAAUUUUUUUUUUCUUUUCAAAUCUGUUCUGUACGUUUUCACCUGCAUCACAUUGGGUAUUACUUAAUGUGAACUUUAAGCCUUUUUCAAUACAUGUGUUUCGUAGAGCCUAUCAAAUUAUGUGAUUAACACCAUAUAAAUGGAAUACCAAAAUAAUCCAAAAUGUGAUACACAAGGCCUCCCAAAUGAUAAUAAUGUAGAAUAUUUAUUUAUUGUGCGUGUGGGUGUGUGAUUAUUCCACGACUUCACAAAUUCAAAAAGUGGCCCAUUAGGAAUCUAUGACCACUAUAGCAAGUUGCAUUGUAUUGCUUUAGGUGGGGCAUAAAAAGGACAUAUUGACCUAAUCACAAGAAUUUUUAAGUGUCGGCAUGUAGAUUUUGAUAAGGAGGAUGUUAAGACGAGUUUAAGUCCUUGGUAUUAUCACAGGCUCGUUUACGUGGCGCUCACAUCUAUUUAUUUGAGGGUGGACCUCACAAUUUUU